rnacentral:lncRNA from 1 species
UGUCAAUGGACCAAAAGGUGCCAGCCACACUGCUAGAGCUCGCUGCAUGGAGUCUGCUGAGUGAUGAGCCUGCAGCUAUCCAUGCUCUUGAGGAGCUCCCAUGAGACCUCUUUGUUCCAUUGUUCAUCACUGCCUUCUUGGGUGGGCAGAAGAUGAAACUAAAGGCCAUGGUGAGGAUUUGGCCCUCCCGUUGUCUCCAUGUUGGACCGUUGAGUGUAAGGGAGUCACACUAUGAAAUCUUGGGAGCCACGAUUGAUCCUGGAUUUAAAGCAGGACCCAGACAGCAGAACCACAUGCUCUGAGAUCAGGAGCACAUUCCCAUUUUGUUUUCAGUCUUGCGUUUACUCUCAGCACUCUAUCCUGAAAAUAGAAGAAGCCAAGCGAAGUGUUAGGUGCCUGGAAAUUGUACAUUUAGAGUCUGAGUCUCGGCCCAUCCAGGGAACGCAUGGGAUUGUUAGUGGACAUUUCCCUUGAUGGUACCUUGAGAACAAGGCAACUCUUUUCUUUCCUUUCGAGUAAAGUUGAGCAGAGCCUUGGGUCCUUGCAUCUCUGCUGCAGAGAUUUGCAAAUUCAUCAAGUGUCUGCCCACAAAAGCGUCCUGUAGUUUCUGGAUCUGGGAUGCACUGAUCACCUGGAAGUAGGUCAGGCUUGUUUGAGUGAAGUCAGCACCCUUUUGGCACAGAAGAUCCACCAGGACAGACUUAGUCUAUCUAAAAUCCUUUUAAAAUCCUGUAAGGGGAGAAACUUCUCAACUUUUUUCACUCAUCAUGAGCGGAUGAACAACCUCCAGGAACUCAGCUUGUCUUGCUUCUGCCUCACAGAUCAGCUGGACAAAAGACAUCACUGUCCUAUCCCAGAGCUCUGAGGUUACCCACCUAAGACUGUUGAGUCUGAGUAACAAUCAGAUAUCCUGGGAAGUUUCUGAGCCAUUCCAGGCUCUGCUGGAGACGGUCUCAGGGACCCUGCAGCAUCUGGAGAUAGACAACUGCCUGAUAACUGAUUCUACUUUCUCUGUUGUCAUCCCAGCCCUGAGCCACUGUUCCCACCUCUGUGUCCCUAGCUUUGUCUUCAACCCCAUUACAAUGCCUGUGCUCACGAGUCUUCUGCAGCACUUAACAGCGUUGAUGGAGCUGAAGCAUGUGAUUUAUCCUGUCCCUGUCCAUUGCUAUGAACAAUGGCAAUCACAUGGCAGUUUGGACAUAC